rnacentral:sRNA from 1 species
UGUUCUCCCAAGCACCAGGGGGACCCCUGGUCUUAGAAUCAAGUUGCAUCACUAGCCUAACCAGCUCCGGGAACCAGAGGGACAGUGGAGGAACUAGUUUGGGAAAUGAAAACAUCUGUAUAAUAAUAAAAAAAAAUCUGCAAUGAGAAGUAAUUUUAUUCUCCUCUUCCUUUUACCCUGGUCUCACUCUUCAUAGUAGGACCUGGAUCUUUGCAUCGGAGAAAACAUAAUGAACAAUAACUCGAAUGUGUGUUUCUUUCUUUUCUGCCCUAGUAUUACUAGAACAUUUGCAUCGGGGAAAACAGAAAAGGUGAUCUUUCAAGCACUCAAGGAGUUAGGUCUUCCCAGUGGAAAGAAUGAUGAAAUUGAGCCCGCGGCAUUUUCUUAUGAAAAGUUCUAUGAACUGACACAAAAGAUUUGUCCUCGGACAGAUAUAGAAGAUCUUUUCAAAAAAAUCAUCAACGAGAUCCUCGAUUGAAUGAAAUUUUAUUUCCAUUUUAUGAUGCCAGAAGGGCAAUGCAGAUCAUUGAGAUGUAUGAACCUGAUGAAGAUUUGAAGAAAAAAGGCCUUAUAUCAAGUGAUGGGUUUUGCAGAUAUCUGAUGUCAGAUGAAAACGCCCCAGUCUUCCUAGAUCGUUUAGAACUUUACCAAGAAAUGGACCAUCCUCUGGCUCACUACUUCAUCAGUUCUUCCCAUAACACUUAUCUCACUGGCAGACAGUUCGGCGGGAAGUCUUCGGUAGAAAUGUACAGACAGGUUCUCCUGGCUGGUUGCAGAUGUGUUGAACUUGACUGCUGGGAUGGAAAAGGUGAAGACCAAGAACCAAUAAUAACUCAUGGAAAAGCAAUGUGUACAGAUAUCCUUUUUAAGGAUGUAAUUCAAGCCAUCAAGGAAACUGCAUUUGUCACAUCAGAGUAUCCUGUAAUUCUCUCCUUUGAAAAUCACUGCAGCAAAUAUCAACAGUACAAGAUGUCCAAAUAUUGCGAAGAUCUAUUUGGGGAUCUCCUGUUGAAACAAGCACUUGAAUCACAUCCACUUGAACCAGGCAGGCCUUUGCCAUCCCCCAAUGACCUCAAAAGAAAAAUACUCAUAAAAAACAAGCGGCUGAAACCUGAAGUUGAAAAAAAACAGCUGGAAGCUUUGAGAAGCAUGAUGGAAGCUGGAGAGUCUGCCUCCCCAGCAAACAUCUUAGAGGACGAUAAUGAAGAGGAGAUCGAAAGUGCUGACCAAGAGGAGGAAGCUCACCCCGAAUUCAAAUUUGGAAAUGAACUUUCUGCUGAUGACUUGGGUCACAAGGAAGCUGUUGCAAAUAGCGUCAAGAAGGCUUCAGAUGACCUUGAACAUGAAAACAACAAAAAGGGCCUGGUCACUGUAGAAGAUGAGCAGGCGUGGAUGGCAUCUUAUAAAUAUGUAGGUGCUACCACUAAUAUCCAUCCAUAUUUGUCCACAAUGAUCAACUACGCCCAGCCUGUAAAGUUUCAAGGUUUCCAUGUGGCAGAAGAACGCAAUAUUCAUUAUAACAUGUCUUCUUUUAAUGAAUCAGUCGGUCUUGGCUACUUGAAGACACAUGCAAUUGAAUUUGUCAAUUAUAACAAACGGCAAAUGAGUCGCAUUUACCCCAAGGGAGGCCGAGUCGAUUCCAGUAAUUACAUGCCUCAGAUUUUCUGGAACGCUGGCUGCCAGAUGGUUUCACUGAACUAUCAAACCCCAGAUUUAGCGAUGCAAUUGAAUCAGGGAAAAUUUGAGUAUAAUGGAUCGUGCGGGUACCUUCUCAAACCAGAUUUCAUGAGGCGGCCUGAUCGAACAUUUGACCCCUUCUCUGAAACUCCUGUUGAUGGUGUUAUUGCAGCCACUUGCUCAGUGCAGGUUAUAUCAGGUCAAUUCUUAUCAGAUAAGAAAAUUGGCACCUACGUAGAGGUGGAUAUGUAUGGGUUGCCCACUGACACCAUACGUAAGGAAUUCCGAACUCGCAUGGUUAUGAAUAAUGGACUCAAUCCAGUUUACAAUGAAGAGUCAUUUGUAUUUCGGAAGGUGAUCCUGCCGGACCUGGCUGUCUUGAGAAUAGCUGUGUAUGAUGAUAACAACAAGCUGAUUGGCCAGAGGAUCCUCCCGCUUGAUGGCCUCCAAGCAGGAUAUCGACACAUUUCCCUUCGAAAUGAGGGAAAUAAACCAUUAUCACUGCCAACAAUUUUCUGCAAUAUUGUUCUUAAAACAUAUGUGCCUGAUGGAUUUGGAGAUAUUGUGGAUGCUUUAUCAGAUCCAAAGAAAUUUCUCUCAAUUACAGAAAAGAGAGCAGACCAAAUGAGAGCUAUGGGCAUUGAGACUAGUGACAUAGCCGACGUGCCCAGUGACACUUCCAAAAAUGACAAGAAAGGAAAGGCCAACACUGCCAAAGCAAAUGUGACCCCUCAGAGUAGCUCUGAGCUCAGACCAACCACCACGGCUGCCCUGGCCUCUGGUGUGGAAGCCAAGAAAGGCAUUGAACUUAUCCCUCAAGUAAGGAUAGAAGACUUAAAGCAGAUGAAGGCUUACUUGAAGCAUUUAAAGAAACAGCAGAAGGAGCUAAAUUCUUUAAAGAAGAAACAUGCAAAGGAACACAGUACCAUGCAGAAGUUACACUGCACGCAAGUUGACAAAAUUGUGGCACAGUAUGACAAAGAGAAGUUGACUCAUGAGAAAAUCCUAGAGAAGGCAAUGAAGAAGAAGGGGGGAAGUAAUUGUCUCGAAAUGAAAAAAGAAACAGAAAUUAAAAUUCAGACGCUGACAUCAGAUCACAAAUCUAAGGUCAAAGAGAUUGUAGCACAGCACACAAAGGAAUGGUCAGAAAUGAUCAAUACCCACAGUGCUGAGGAGCAAGAAAUCCGAGACCUGCACCUCAGCCAGCAGUGUGAGCUGCUGAAAAAGCUACUCAUCAGUGCCCACGAGCAGCAAACCCAGCAGCUGAAACUGUCCCAUGACAGGGAAAGCAAGGAAAUGCGAGCACACCAGGCUAAGAUUUCUAUGGAAAAUAGCAAAGCCAUCAGCCAAGAUAAAUCUAUCAAGAAUAAAGCAGAACGGGAAAGGCGAGUCAGGGAGUUAAACAGCAGCAACACCAAAAAGUUUCUGGAAGAAAGAAAGAGACUUGCAGUGAAGCAGUCCAAAGAAAUGGAUCAGUUGAAAAAAGUCCAGCUUGAACAUCUAGAAUUCCUAGAGAAACAGAAUGAGCAGGCGAAGGAGAUGCAGCAGAUGGUGAAAUUGGAAGCCGAGAUGGACCGCAGACCAGCAACAGUAGUAUGAAACUCCAAAAUGCAAACUGAAGCAGCAAACCCACAAAGCAUCAAAAGAUUCACUCACAAACUUCUGAACACAAACUCCACGAAUGAAAGCUGUUUAUUUUGUUUCCUUUAUGUGUAAACAAGAUGAUAUCUGAAACCAGAGAGACUUGGAAUGUCUGACUGACUUCUAUUUAACAGCUUGAGUAUUGCAUUUCCUUGGCCAAACAAAAGUAGCUACAAAUCCACAAAAAUUUACUAUUCCAGUAAGGCAGAGUUCAACCAUUGCUAAUACAACUUAAACAUGUUUGCUAUAAAAUACCAUCACAAGUAAAUGAGCUUGGUGUUAACAACUCUCCUUUGUGAUGCCUUAGGACAUGUUUGAACUGCAGCAAAAAACAAACAAAAACAAAAAACAGUGCAUUGGCAAUUUCAUAGCAAGUGCAUGCACUAGGAAAAGAAAACUCUGUCUACAAAUUUAUUAGCAGAAGUGAUGGUCUGCUAGACAAAUAAUUUUGCAAAAUUUUUCUACAUCUAAGUUACCUCAUCAGUAAGUGCCAUGUCUCUACCAUGCCAUCAGAGGCUAAUUUCCUGUAAAAGUUGUGGAAAUUGUUAGAACAAUAGAAAAAUAGAGCAGUGUAUGUGUGCCAAAACUCAUCAUUACUCAAAGGAGAACUGUGUUAGGCACAUUUAAGAAAGUUUACAUCUGACAUUGCUUUAUAGGAAUGGUUUCUGCAGAUUCCAGAUAUUACAAUUCACACCAUAAAGAUUGUGAAGUGGUUAUUGGCAAAUGUUUGUAAAUGUGACCAUGUAUAAAGUAUUUAUACUCUAAUUCACACUGUUAGAGAGCAAAAUCAUCUAAGUAUUGCCACAUGACAAGAUUAGUAAACAGGAAUACUAGAACUAUGUUUGCAUGAUACACAAACACCAAUAAAGACUAAUCCAUACACAGUUAACCUAAUGCCAAAUAAAUACUGGUUAAAUAAAUGUAUGGCACAGAAUAUAAUUUGACUAUCAAGACUUUUAGCAUAAUGAAGAACUCUCUCUAUAUAUAUAUGUGUAUAUGAAUUAUGUGGGCAUUCUUGAUACUUCAAGUUCUAGUUUGAAAAAAAUACAUAACUAAUUUAAUUUUACACAAAUAUUUAUGCAGAUUUUCAGAAUUUCAUAUCAGGAAAUGACCUUUUUAUGUCUGUUAAAUAUCAAAACAAUUUGCUACAGUGUUAAUCUGCAUGGUCUUUAAGCCUGCUGUAGUUGAGUUGCAGACAGUGCAUGAAAAAGUAUUCCGCUGGGAAUUGAGCCAUGCCACCAAAGCCAAGAGGAGCGCAUGGAAACCCGGUAGUCUAGAACUAAUCAGAUUACUGAUUUUAGGGCACAGCACCAAAUGAAUUGUUGUAUAUGCUUGUAAAAAUUGAUUCUGUGUGUUCCUCUGAACAAAGCGGAGAAAAUGAUGAUACCAUCAAUAUUGAAAUUAAACUUCCAACUUCUCUAAUAAAAAAUUAAAACACGCAUAACACUCGUCAGAGUAUUUGCUCCCAAGACACAUUCUAGCAAGUGUUUUGCCUUUUUUCAUAUAUGUGAUAUCAUCGUUAUUUUCAAAGGGGGCUUAUUAAUACCCUCAGCAUGUUUUUCACCCAAAUGAUGCAAAACAUGCAGAUUCUAGUUGACUUCAGAUGUAAUAGACUUGUUUUUCUCCUAUUUGUGAUUUGAAGUGGAUUCUGUAAAAAUAUCUCUUGUUCUUAGUUUCCUUAUCUGUAAAACAGUGGAGUUAGACUACAUAUCUUUUGACACUAACAUCUCAUGAAAAAUUAUGGUUAGUAAAAUGUCACCACAUUUGGAUUGCCAAUUUUCAAAGAUUCUGAGUGGCUUCUCAUCAUCAAAUCAAAUCAAAUCCAAGAGCUCAAGUAUGCUCACCAUUCUGUAACACUUGACCGAAUUCAUCACUUGCCUCCUCUUGUUUCUGCUUUGGAGAGGUACUACUAGUUUUUCCAUUUUUCUUAUUUCUUCUCUGGCUUUUCAUCCUCCUAGGCUACCAUAAGCAUUUAUAUUUUCCAGUUUUUUGUGGAACCAGUUUUUUUUCUUUAAUCCAGGUUACUUUUAGUAUUUGAGACAUCAUACCAUUCAUCCAUUGUAGCAAGAUUAAAAUGUACACACAACUGAAAUGUGCAACAAAAGCAUGUGUUACCUGCUAUUGUAAGUUCAUAUUGCACUCAAACCUUGCAUUAUCCCUUAUUAUGAAGAAAAAUUAAUAGCCAAUUAAAGUAACUCAGUGUCUUCCA